rnacentral:rRNA from 1 species
GGGGAAUAUUGCACAAUGUGGGAAACCCUGAUGCAGCAACGCCGCGUGAAGGAAGACGGUUUUCGGAUUGUAAACUUCUGUUCUUAGUGAAGAAUAAUGACGGUAGCUAAGGAGCAAGCCACGGCUAACUACGUGCCAGCAGCCGCGGUAAUACGUAGGUGGCAAGCGUUGUCCGGAAUUACUGGGUGUAAAGGGAGCGUAGGCGGGAUGCCAAGUCAGCUGUGAAAACUAUGGGCUUAACCUGUAGACUGCAGUUGAAACUGGUAUUCUUGAGUGAAGUAGAGGUUGGCGGAAUUCCGAGUGUAGCGGUGAAAUGCGUAGAUAUUCGGAGGAACACCGGUGGCGAAGGCGGCCAACUGGGCUUUAACUGACGCUGAGGCUCGAAAGUGUGGGGAGCAAAC